CUCUCUCUCUCUCUCUCUCUCUCUCUCUCUCUCACUCUCAAGUCCUAAAACCGCCAUUACCGACGGCAACCCCGGCACUACAACCACCUUCUUGAAAACCCCCAAUUCCCCAAAUCCAAAACCCUAAAAUCGAGUAUAAACAUCCCCCCACCUUCUUCAAUUCUUUGCAAUUUCAGACGAAUCCGUUCUCCCUUUUCAAGCUCGGAACUCAAAUUUAAGGUAGGGGUUCUUGUGUUGGAGAAGGAGUUGACCAUUGAAUUGGGGGCUGUUGCUUGCUUUUGCUGCACCUGCAGGUUGCCAAAACUGAAUUGAAUUGUUCUUCCAUUUAUAGUAUGCAACACUGAAUAAUGUUUAGCCAAAUACGUAUAUUUUCUCUGACCUAGUUGAGGCUGAGAUUCAGGCAGCUGGGAAGUGGUGUUUAAGCUUCAAUUUCAAGUUUUGGCUACAGUUUCAAAGUUUAUCAGAAUGGUUUAACUUUGUGAGACA